GACGAACGCUGGCGGCGUGCUUAACACAUGCAAGUCGAGCGGUAAGGCCCCUUCGGGGGUACACGAGCGGCGAACGGGUGAGUAACACGUGAGCAAUCUGCCCAUCACUUCGGGAUAACUCCGGGAAACCGAAGCUAAUACCGAAUACGACCACCUCCGGCAUCGGAUGGUGGUGGAAAGUUCCGGCGGUGAUGGAUGAGCUCGCGGCCUAUCAGCUUGUUGGUGGGGUAACGGCCCACCAAGGCUUCGACGGGUAGCCGGCCUGAGAGGGUGACCGGCCACACUGGGACUGCGACACGGCCCAGACUCCUACGGGAGGCAGCAGUGGGGAAUAUUGGACAAUGGGCGAAAGCCUGAUCCAGCAACGCCGCGUGAGGGAUGACGGCCUUCGGGUUGUAAACCUCUUUCAGCAGGGACGAAGCGCAAGUGACGGUACCUGCAGAAGAAGCACCGGCCAACUACGUGCCAGCCGCCGCGGUAAAAC
rnacentral:rRNA from 1 species